GGCCGGUUGGCCCAAUGGUAAGGCGUCUGACUACGACGAAAGCAUCCAUUGUGAGCGCUGGUAAUCAGGAGAUUCUGGGUUCGAGCCCCAGGCUGGUCA
rfam:Pseudozyma hubeiensis SY62 DNA, scaffold: PHS21.